CUAAUUUGAUUUGACUAUCUAACAUUUUAAAAAUUUAAUUUUAGUAUUAAAUAAUUUAAUAAUUUUUCAAGUACAUAAUUUAAACUAAUUAUUUAUUUUAAUAAAAAUACUAAUUGACUCAAAUCAUUAAUUAAAAUGUUAAAUUAUAAAGUUAAAAUUUUAAAAAUUUUGAUUUUCAUAUUAAAAUUUAAAAUUGAUGAUAGCCGAGAUAAGUUAUUUAUAUUUUUAUAACCUAGCUGCUAUAUUCUUAUGAGUACAAUCGUGUUCGCACUCAUAAGUUAUUUUCGAUUAUUGUACUUUCGAAUCAACGAUUUAUACCGUUAAGAAUGAUUUAGAGCAUUCGAAACUUUUAAAAAUCAAAUUUCAUAAUUUUUUUGGCCUCAUUUACCUUACAAUCAAAAAAUCUCAAAAUUGAUAACUUUUAACGGCUGGGAUGGUAUACGUGCUAAUUUAAUAGUGUAAAAAAAUCAGAAGUGGUUGAAUUUUUGAUAGAAAAUUCUAUUUUACUAUCUAAAUAAAGAUCAACAAUCUUGAUCUUAAAUUGAAGAAUUCGUGUGACGCCCCAUUUUCCAGGGGUUAUCCACCUAGGAUUAGUAUAGUCCUAGCAUGCUUAACUCUCUUAAUCUCUUAGACCUAACCACCGCCUAAGCCGGUUAACCAAUGCCCAAAAUGAUAUAAUCGGGUUAAAAAUUUUAAGCGUGCUAAAACUAGAGUAGUUUUAUGAUGGAUAACCCUAUGAGAAGUAGGACGUCAUAGUUGGUAUUAGAGUCAAUUAUCAGCUGAAAGUGUAAGAUGAGUUUUAAAUGAGGUAAGUUAUAUAGUGGGGAGAGCGAGGCUUUCAUGCUUGUAACUGUUGUUAGAAAAGCAUGGCUCCUCCACAAGGUCAGUUAAGACUAGCAAGACGAGUCUCAUUUCGCCUGAUACUUGUAGGUCUGAGCCUGACGAGAACGUCGGGGCUUAAAAGGUGAAAGAUUGUAAGACUCUAAUCUUAUAUAUAAGAUAUAAUAGAACUAAAAACUCUUAACCUGGCUAUAAUAUUUUAGGCGGUGACUAGACCCAUUAGGUUAAGAGAGUUAAGCAUAUGAGGACUAAAGUACUUCUAGGAUGGAUGACGACUCUCUAGG
rnacentral:lncRNA from 1 species